AGCCCCGGCAGACGUUAGUCUGCCCUUUCAGAUUUGCAAUCUGAUGUGCUGAACACCUCGAGGCU
rnacentral:tRNA from 1 species